AACCUUCGGGGAACGAUAACGGCGUCGAGCGGCGGACGGGUGAGUAAUGCCUAGGAAAUUGCCCUGAUGUGGGGGAUAACCAUUGGAAACGAUGGCUAAUACCGCAUGAUGCCUACGGGCCAAAGAGGGGGACCUUCGGGCCUCUCGCGUCAGGAUAUCCCCCAGGGGGGGAUAAGCUAGUUGGGGAGGGAAGGGCUCACCAAGGCGACGACUUCCCCAGCUGGUCUGAGAGGGAUGAUUCACCCACACGGGAAAUGAGAACACCGUUCCCAGACUCCUAGCGGGAGGCACCCAGUGGGGAAUAUUCCACAAUGGGCGCAACCCUGAUGCAGCCAUGCCCGCGUGUGUGAAGAAGGCCUUUCGGGUUGUAAAGCACUUUCAGUCGUGAGGAAGGUAGUGUAGUUAAUAGCUGCAUUAUUUGACGUUAGCGACAGAAGAAGCACCGGCUAACUCCGUGCCAGCAGCCGCGGUAAUACGGAGGGUGCGAGCGUUAAUCGGAAUUACUGGGCGUAAAGCGCAUGCAGGUGGUUUGUUAAGUCAGAUGUGAAAGCCCGGGGCUCAACCUCGGAAUAGCAUUUGAAACUGGCAGACUAGAGUACUGUAGAGGGGGGUAGAAUUUCAGGUGUAGCGGUGAAAUGCGUAGAGAUCUGAAGGAAUACCGGUGGCGAAGGCGGCCCCCUGGACAGAUACUGACACUCAGAUGCGAAAGCGUGGGGAGCAAACAGGAUUAGAUACCCUGGUAGUCCACGCCGUAAACGAUGUCUACUUGGAGGUUGUGGCCUUGAGCCGUGGCUUUCGGAGCUAACGCGUUAAGUAGACCGCCUGGGGAGUACGGUCGCAAGAUUAAAACUCAAAUGAAUUGACGGGGGCCCGCACAAGCGGUGGAGCAUGUGGUUUAAUUCGAUGCAACGCGAAGAACCUUACCUACUCUUGACAUCCAGAGAACUUUCCAGAGAUGGAUUGGUGCCUUCGGGAACUCUGAGACAGGUGCUGCAUGGCUGUCGUCAGCUCCUGGUUGUGAAAAGGUUGGGGUUAAAUCCCGCAACAAAGCGCAACCCUUAUCCUUGGUUUGCCAGCCAAGUAAAGGUCGGGAAAUCCAGGGAGAAAGGCCGGGGAUAAACCGAGAGAAAGGGGGGGACGAAGAAACAAGUCAUCAUGGGGCCCUUACAAGUAAGGGGGGCCACACACGUGCUACAAGGGCGCGAAAAAAAGGGCGGCCAACUUUGCGAAAGUGAGCGAAUCCCAAAAAGUGCGUCGUAGUCCGGAUUGGAGUCUGCAACUCGACUCCAUGAAGUCGG
rnacentral:rRNA from 1 species